UACAGGGGGGGCAAGCGUUGUUCGGAAUUACUGGGCGUAAAGGGCUCGUAGGUGGCCAACUAAGUCAGACGUGAAAUCCCUCAGCUUAACUGGGGAACUGCGUCUGAUACUGGAUGGCUUGAGUUUGGGAGAGGGAUGCGGAAUUCCAGGUGUAGCGGUGAAAUGCGUAGAUAUCAGGAGGAACACCGGUGGCGAAGGCGGGUCUCUGGGCCGAUACUGACGCUGAGGAGCGAAAGCGUGGGGAGCAAACAGG
rnacentral:rRNA from 1 species